rnacentral:rRNA from 1 species
AAAUAUACCAAGGGGAGCGAGAGAACCCUCGUUAAGGAAUUAGGCAAAUUUCCCCCGUACGUUCGCAAUAAGGGGGGCCUCUGGUGGUGAGCUUAAUCGCAAAGCUGCUGGAGGCCGCAGAGAAAUGGCUCUUCCAACUGUUUAACAAAAACACAGGUCUCUGCUAAGUCGAAAGACGAAGUAUAGGGGCUGACGCCUGCCCAGUGCUGGAAGGUUAAGGGGAGAGGUUAGGCGCAAGCCGAAGCUUUGAGCCGAAGCCCCAGUGAACGGCGGCCGUAACGAUAACGGUCCUAAGGUAGCGAAAUUCCUUGUCGGGUAAGUUCCGACCCGCACGAAUGGCGUAAUGAGAGGAGCACUGUCUCAACGAGGGACUCGGCGAACAUUGAAGGACGUGUGAAGAUACACGUGACCCGCAGCGGGACAAAAAGACCCCGUGAAGCUUUACUACAACUUGCCAUUGAGUUAGGGCUAAACCUGUGUAGUAUAGGUGGGAGGCUUUGAAGCUGGGACGCCAGUCUCGGUGGAGCCACCGUUGAAAUACCACCCUGGUUUAUUCUUGGCUCUAACCUGUCGCCGUUAUCCGGCAUGGGAACAGUGGCUGGUGGGUAGUUUGACUGGGGCGGUCGCCUCCGAAAGCGUAACAGAGGCGCCCAAAGGUUCCCUCAGGCUGAAUGGAAACCAGCCGUUGAGUGUAAAGGCACAAGGGAGCUUGACUGCAAGACCAACAAGUCGCGCAGGGACGAAAGUCGGGCUUAGUGAUCCCACGGUUCAGAGUGGAAUGGCCGUGGCUUACCGGAUAAAAGCUACUCCGGGGAUAACAGGGUAGUCUGGUCCAAGAGUUCAUAUCGACGACCAGGUUCGCCACCUCGAUGUCGGCUCAUCACAUCCUGGGGCUGGAUAAGGUCCCAAGGGUUGGGCUGUUCGCCCAUUAAAGUGGUACGUGAGCUGGGUUCAGACCGUCGUGAGACAGGUCGGUCUCUAUCCGCUGUGGGCGUAAGGGAUUUGAGAGAAGCUGCCCCUAGUACGAGAGGACCGGGGUGGACGGACCUCUAGUGUGCCAGUUGUUCUGCCAAGAGCAUUGCUGGGUAGCUACGUCCGGCAGAGAUUACCGCUGAAAGCAUCUAAGUGGGAAACUCGUCUCAAGAUUAGAUCCCUCAUCCGUAUGGAGUAAGACCGCUAGAAGACUACUAGUUUGAUAGGCGGCAGGUGUAAGCGCAGCAAUGUGUUCAGCUUAGCCGUACUAAUGGUCGAGGGCUUACGUUU